rnacentral:lncRNA from 1 species
CAACGACAACAAUACUCUAUUUGUUAUUACACCUUAAAGAUAAUCAAUCAUUAGAUCCGCAACCAUUAUGAUGAUGAUGAUGACGACGACCCUUUGAAUCUUAAUUUUUAUUUGGUCUUUUAAAAGAUUGCAUUGAUGUUUUAAGCCAAAUAGGUACCUGAAUUUAACUAAAAGGUAUCAAACUUCUUAUGGCGUUUGAUAGAGUUCCUUUGCCACCUCCGUGGAUCAAAGAAGAUAGAGGGAAUUGAUCUAUGAACGUGUCAUACAGUGAGUAACAAAGAAGAUAGAGGGAAUUGAUCUAUGAACGUGUCAUACAAUUGUCCCAAACUUCCUUUGAUAAAGCAACAUAAAAAAUAGUUCAAAGAUGAUUGGAAUCAAGCACGAAUGUAUCAAGAAAAGAGCUUUAUAAUCUUUCUUUGCAACCUUCUUAUAUGCAACUCUCUGCGCAUCAGUUAGAUUAUUUGGCAAUGCCGCUACACCAAAAUUCACCACUUCUGACACAUCUUGAAAAACAAAAAGAACCUUUAUCUGCUUGACCCAUCAAUCAUAAUUUGUUCCACCUUCAAGCAGUGUAGGAUACCUUUGAAUUUCACCAUGAGUUACCUUUGAUUUCAACUAAAAGCUUUGGAUAAUGGAUGUUGGAGAAGAAAGUGUAAAUGAGAUAGAGUCAUUUGUUUGAUCAAAUACUAUAUUGAUUAUUCAUUUUAUAAUGAAAUUUGAUACAACCGUUGCUUUAUACUAGUGUCUUGUAUUCAUUGUAUUCACGGAAUCAACCAAUUGAUCCUCGACUUUCUUUUGGAGGCAUUUCCUCAUUGCUUUUUUUUCUUCUUCUCUG